rnacentral:rRNA from 1 species
CAUGUCCUUUUGAGUAAUAAUUUAAGGUCUGAUCUGCUCAAUGAUUAAUUAAAUUGCCGCAGUAUUUUGACUGUGCAAAGGUAGCAUAAUAAUUAGCUUUUUAAUUAAAAGCUGGAAUGAAGGAUUGGACGAGAAAAUUACUGUCUCUUUUUAAUAUUUUAUUGAAUUUUAUUUUUAAGUUAAAAAGCUUAAAUUAUUAUAAAAGACGAGAAGACCCUAUAGAGUUUAAUAUCUUGAAAUUAUUUUAUUUUAGUAAUUAAUUUAUUUUUUAAAUAUUUAAUUGGGGUGAUUUGGAGAUUAAUUAAAUUCUCUUAUAUUUUAAUUGAUGAUUGUUAAAUUUUUAAUUUAAUUUUUUUAAGUUUAGUAUAAAUUACCUUAGGGAUAACAGCGUUAUUUUUCUUUAAAGUUCUUAUUAAAAGAAAAUUUUGCGACCUCGAUGUUGGAUUAAAAUAAAUUUUUGGUGCAGUAACUGAAGAAUUAGGUCUGUUCGACCUUUAAUAUUUUACAUGAUCUGAGUUUAAACCGGUGUAAGCCAGGUUGGAUUCUAUCUUUAGUUUUAUAAAGCAUUUUAGUACGAAAGGACCAAUUGCUUAUUAAAUUAAUUA